CUUAGUGGGCCAUGCUUUGCAUUGCUGCACAAAGUUAUUCAGGACCUGAUGACGAUCAAUCUUCCGGCUUCCAGACUGGAGAGAAGUGCUACAUUUGCAAAAGGGAUGUUGAUUACGCGCCAACAGGCACAAUGUCCAAGCCCAGCGGGACAAUUCCUACUGUGGUUCUUGCGUGCGACCACGUAUUUCAUGAAUGCUUGUGCCAUGGGUGAGCGAUAACAUGUCCAACUCACAAUUUGAAGUCUGGUUUUCAGGUAGUUUUUUGGAGUGAAAUGUAACUGUAAAUAGCCAGAAUUGAAAGAUGAGUUUACAAGUAACUAGUCAGGGUGUAGAUAUGAAAGUGAUGCGUUCUUGCUUCGGUUA